UCAUCCGUGGUGUAUGUGGUUAACACACCAGAACUUUAAUCUGGCGCAGAUGGUUCGAACCCAUCCGGAUGGC